rnacentral:rRNA from 1 species
AUUGAACGCUGGCGGCAUGCUUUACACAUGCAAGUCGAACGGCAGCGCGGGCUUCGGCCUGGCGGCGAGUGGCGAACGGGUGAGUAAUGCAUCGGAACGUGCCCAGUAGUGGGGCAUAGCCCGGCGAAAGCCGGAUUAAUACCGCAUACGACCUGAGGGUGAAAGCGGGGGGCCGAAAGGCCUCGCGCUAUUGGAGCGGCCGAUGUCGGAUUAGCUAGUUGGUGGGGUAAAGGCUUACCAAGGCGACGAUCCGUAGCUGGUCUGAGAGGACGACCAGCCACACUGGGACUGAGACACGGCCCAGACUCCUACGGGAGGCAGCAGUGGGGAAUUUUGGACAAUGGGGGCAACCCUGAUCCAGCCAUGCCGCGUGCGGGAAGAAGGCCUUCGGGUUGUAAACCGCUUUUGUUCGGGAAGAAAUCCUCUGGGCUAAUACCCCGGGGGGAUGACGGUACCGGAAGAAUAAGCACCGGCUAACUACGUG